rnacentral:rRNA from 1 species
GACGAACGCUGGCGGCGUGCUUAACACAUGCAAGUCGAACGGAAAGACCCUGCUUUUGUGGGGUGCUCGAGUGGCGAACGGGUGAGUAACACGUGAGUAACCUGUCCUUGACUUUGGGAUAACUUCAGGAAACUGGGGCUAAUACCGGAUAGGAGCUCCUGCUGCAUGGUGGGGGUUGGAAAGUUUCGGCGGUUGGGGAUGGACUCGCGGCUUAUCAGCUUGUUGGUGGGGUAGUGGCUUACCAAGGCUUUGACGGGUAGCCGGCCUGAGAGGGUGACCGGCCACAUUGGGACUGAGAUACGGCCCAGACUCCUACGGGAGGCAGCAGUGGGGAAUAUUGCACAAUGGGCGGAAGCCUGAUGCAGCAACGCCGCGUGCGGGAUGACGGCCUUCGGGUUGUAAACCGCUUUCGCCUGUGACGAAGCGUGAGUGACGGUAAUGGGUAAAGAAGCACCGGCUAACUACGUG